rnacentral:rRNA from 1 species
AGCGAACGCUGGCGGCAGGCCUAACACAUGCAAGUCGAACGGACCCUUCGGGGUUAGUGGCGGACGGGUGAGUAACACGUGGGAACGUGCCUUUAGGUUCGGAAUAGCUCCUGGAAACGGGUGGUAAUGCCGAAUGUGCCCUUAGGGGGAAAGAUUUAUCGCCUUUAGAGCGGCCCGCGUCUGAUUAGCUAGUUGGUGAGGUAAUAGCUCACCAAGGCUACGAUCAGUAGCUGGUCUGAGAGGAUGAACAGCCACAUUGGGACUGAGACACGGCCCAAACUCCUACGGGAGGCAGCAGUGGGGAAUCUUGCGCAAUGGGCGAAAGCCUGACGCAGCCAUGCCGCGUGGAUGAUGAAGGUCUUAGGAUUGUAAAAUCCUUUCACCGGUGAAGAUAAUGACGGUAACCGGAGAAGAAGCCCCGGCUAACUUCGUGCCAGCAGCCGCGGUAACAC